UUAUGUAACCACCUCCUUGACUUUUUUUAGCUGCCCUUCUUAUCCGUGGCAGUAAUAUAAAGUUCCUGUUAUCAAGAGGAGGAUUUUGUUCCAUCUGUUCAGCAGCUUGGCUCGCGCUCAUCCAGCCUAACUUUAGACACUUCAGCAGGGGCCUUUCUGAAGGGCUUAAUGGGAUGGUGUGGCUCGGUGUGCUGAGGGCAUGGGGCUGUGCUGGGCUGUGCCUGAGCGAGGGGAGUAAUGUGUACUGCCUGCCUGGAGGCCCUUAAGUGAAAUAAUAAGAAAAAUGACGCAUCAGUUUACACAGCCAGGACUGUUUUCUGGUGUAGAUUGUGCUCCUUUUUUAUUGUGCAGUACUGUCUUUAUUAUCUGAGGCCCCCGAGGACUCUGCAUACAAAACCCUUUAGGAUUUUACUAGAUUUUACAGCUACAUGUCCAUACUGAGUUGGAGGAAUGAGGAUUUGGUUUUGCUGCCUUUCUGCACGCUAAUGAAACAAAGCACUAAUCGUGUGCUCCUGCACUCCAGGUUUUUCUGAGGACACGCGGCUGCAGCCUGCUCACAGCACUGGGGACGCACGCACUGUGCGAGCAAUGCGUGACUGCUGCUAAGGGAGCGUGGGGUAUUUGCUGCCUGGCUGUGUGUAAUGUUGACAGUCGAGGGUUUUCUUGCAGUGCCGUUGGGUCUUGCAGAAGACGAGAUAAACAGAACUGAGCUGACCUAAAGAUUUCACACACGGCAGACUUCUACGAUCAAGCGACUUACAGAAGGACUGCCAGGCCUCACCCUCUACCGCUGCGAGGAGGGAAGGGCAUGGCGCUCCGCUCCCGCCCAAGGAGCGGGGGCGGUGCCCGCGCGUCACACAGCGCUUUCUGAUAGGUCGAUGCGCUGAUUGGCGGCAGAAGCAGCCAGUGAGAGGUGGUGGCUCGUGGCGGAGCGUCGCCUGCGGAGUACUCUGACGGCGCCAUCUUGUUUGCAGGAGGCUACGCGUGCAUUCUAUCAGGACCAGGUGUGUUCAGCAAGCAAAAGUGUUCAAGUAGAAGCUGCACUGCACCUUGUAAACUGCAAAGUGGCUUAUGGCCACUUUGGAACCUCUAGAAUUCAGUAUUCUGUAUACAAGUGAAAAGUCUUCUUGGAUAAUUAAGACUGUCUGAAGUCACUGAGAGUUUCAGUAUGCUGACUUUAAAGGUUCUAAGGAAACUCAGCUCCCUUCUGCACACUGCACUUGAAACUGAAUGCAAGACUCCACUGUUACCCACUGCACUCACUGAUAUCAGCUCCAGAAUUCCUGAGAAUGCCUAGAAAACCUGACCUUCUUCUCCUGACAGCACAUCAAUCAAGGCAGAGGACACUGGAAUGUGUUGCUGACUUUACCAUGCGCCCAGCAUGACAUCUCCAGACUCCAAGACACCCCAGCCUGGACUCCCUCCUAAGUCUACUGCAAGCUGUUGCUUAUCAGCUCGUACAGUAUAUUGAAAGCAGAUGGACAAAGAUAGCUGGCUGAGCAAAUUCUGGUGCUUCAGAAAAACUGCAAGCAGGCUGUUGUCUGGAGGGCAAGCCUGCAAUCUACCUCACAAGUUCUGAAAACAGCCAUACCCAGGGUGCAAUUGUAGAUAUAUUCAGUGCUUUUCAGUGUUCUUUGAAAAUACAGAGCAACUGUGAAACAUUCAUUUUCAGUCUGUGAAUUAGACAGUCGAAGCAAAAUCACCAAAACCUCUCAGAAGUCUGCUUUAAAACAGUAGUAACCAUCUUAUCUUAAAAGAGGUUCAAGUUUCAACGACAUGCAAUAGAUCCGGACGAAGAUAUUUAUUUAUGAGUUUGAUUCUACCUGCCCUUUUUCUCAUCCAUGAGUGGCUGAGGUCUGAGCAUACACAGUUGAAUUACAGAGGGACUUAUAUUGCUACCAGUACCUUUAUCAUUAUAACCUGAAGUUUAAAAAAAACUUCCUGA